rnacentral:lncRNA from 1 species
UUGCUUUCGACGACAUGCAUGGAACAAGGAACUCCGUACCUAACACCAACUGCGAGUCCGUUGGCAAUUGCAUUGUGCAUGGCCUGAUCUUCAUCUCAUCACUGCUCAUCCAAGGACUAGCUAGCAACAGAUGAUGAUGAACCUAGCACACGCAAAGGUAAAACCUGAUGUCAAGCAGCUAUGAGCUAUUGCAUGCGUACUACUCUCCUGUCACCUCGCACUUGACAGCGUCUUCUUCUUCGUCCUCUCUUUUCUUGGCAACAGUUGGUGAGAUACUUAUCCAUAUUUUUUUUUGCCAAUAUUAGCAUCAGAAGCUCCGAUCCCUAAUCGCGAUACUCGGAUAAGCUCGGCCGAUGUGGAUUGCAUUUGCAGAUAUCAUUACGGGAGUUUGGUGUGUGGUAGAUGGACUGCACUAGCUGGCGAUAUCAUGCUUGCGUUGGCGUUGCCUUAAUCCGCGGCUUGAUUGGGCGCACAACACUUUGGCUCGUAUUUUAGAGUAUCAAAAGCUUGUUUUUGUCAAGCUAAUGUGGCCCAUGGCUUGGAAAAGUUGUACGUGGAUUCGGGGUUAGUUGGAGCCUUGCAGGAACAAAAGGGGCCAACCGAUCAAUCAUGUACGCAUCUGGAUCCAUCUUCUUGCAUCGUAU